UCCUCUUCCGUGACCCUAAAACCGCGCGCGGUCCCUCAGGAUAUCUCCCUUGCUCAGGCCUGCGUUACGCGUUUAGUGUGGGCGGGGAUAUUUUCCUGAAUCCACUGGUGAGAACGCAGAACGUGGGGAAAGGCUGCAGUGGCAGCCGGCCGGAUGGAGGUCAAAUAGUAGGAAGCGUUUACUGCCCGGGGCAGAGUGGUGCGGUCUCUAGUUUCCUCUUGCGGUUUGGUAGAAAGAGAACAGAAGCUGUUGAGUAGCCGUGUGACUUGGAACAGUGACUUGGAACAGUGACUUGGAACAGUUUUUGAUAUGAACUGGUAGUUGAAGUAAGUGUUAAAUUUUGGAAUUGAGCCGGGUCACCUGCCCCAGUCUCUAAGUUGAGAUUUCUCCAUUCUGCGCCGCGUAUGCGCCAACCACCUUGUCGGUUCCUCACAGGUCUCCUUGGAGUGGAGGACUGGGUUCUCCAGCCCGUGACUAAGACAUCUCUUCCCAGCAUUGGACAUCUCUUUUCCGGAGAUUGUUUUUUAGAUCUGUUUUUUUUUUUAAUUGAGGUAUAGUUGUACAAUAUUACAGAAGUUUCAGGUGUACAACAGUGAUUCACAAUUUUUAAAGGUUAUACUCCAUUUAUAGUUAUUAUAAAUAUUGGUGAUAUUCCCUCUGUUGUACAUCCCCCAGAUGUUCAUCAAAGGUCUCAUCUGUGUCGGGAGGGAACCAGCCCAGGCAGGCCCAACUUCACUUGCUGAAUCAGUAAAUGCCCUGGCGGCAUACCUUGCUGGACAUUGGGGCUUGCAUGGGCCUGCAGGCAGUGGGUCAGAGUAGAAAACCCUCGGGAGGUCAGAAAGGUGAGGCAUAAGUUAACUUUAUGGGCAGUGCAGAAGUGAUGUAUGCUGGUUGGGGAAAGCUUGGAAGAACAGAAAUGGGUUGUAUAAUAUGGUUGGUUACAAGACUGGGUGAGGGCAUAACAGAUGCCUUUUAGUGUCUUUCAUCACUUACACAGAAGUUGAUUUCGAAGAUGUGUUUUAUCUGAUCUUUUUACUCCUCCUUUCCUUUAUGGCUGCCUUUUGGCGGUUUGCCAAGUAGAAGUAGUUAUGGCAUCAUGACUUCUAGCUUUGUAAAAAAUACAUUUAUUUGUUUAUUUUGGCUGCACCACCUCUUAGUUGUGGCAUCGUUGUUUGUUUUUUGUUUUUGUUUUUUUUGGCUGCGUUGGGUCUUUGUUACUGCAUGCGGGCUUUCUCUAGUUGCAGCGAGCAGGGGUUACUCUUCCUGGCGGUGUGCAGGCUUCUAAUUGUGGUGGCUUCUCCUUGUGGAGCAUGGGCUCUAGGCUCGUGGGCUUCAGUAGUUGUGGCACGCAGGUUCAGUAGUUGUGGCGCACAGGCUUAGUUGCUCUGCGGCAUGUGGGAUCUUCCCGGACCAGGGCUCCAACCCAUGUCCCCUGAAUUGGCAGGCGGAUUCUUAACCACUGCACCACCAGGGAAGUCCUGUCUUUUUGAUAAUAGUCAUUCUAACAGGUAUGAGGUGAUACCUCAUUGUGGUUUUGAUUUGCAUUUCCCCGAUGAUUAGUGAUGUUGAGCACCUUUUCAUGUACCUAUUGGCCAUCUGUAUGUCUUCUUUGGAAAAAUGUCUAUUCAGAUCUUAUGUCCAUUUUUUUAAACAGGUUAUUUGUGUUUUUUUGCUUUUGAGUUGUUUGAGUUCUUUAUAUAUUUUGGAUAUCAGUCUCUUAUCAGAUAAGUGAUUUGCAAAUAUUUUCUCCCAUUCAGUAGGUUGUUUCUUUUGCUAUACAGAAAUUUUUUAGUUUGAUGUAGUCCCACUUGUUUAUUUUUGCUUUUGUUGCCUUUGUGUUGUGUGUCAGAUUGGUUUUUAGUUCUUUAGGGCAGUCUUACCUUUACAUUUCAGUAGUACCUUUCUAGUGCAAUGCUCCACAAAUGUUUUCUGAAUUCCUGCCGAAGAUUAGAAAAUUGACAGGUAGGGGGACUGCUACUGGAGAGAAAGCUUACUAAUUUCACCCAGAAAUGACAAUUGGUAAUCUGAUAGUGAGGGAAGAGACAGGAAAAAUCUGUAAAAGUAGGCAAAAUUUUGCCCAUCAUUUGGCAAAGAUUUUUAAAAUUGUAAUAUCCAAAAGAGAAUAUAGGAAAACACUUUUGUGUAAUGCUGGUGGGAGUAGAGAAUUCAUAUAAUUUCCUUAGAAUGUAGUUUGGAAGACUGUACUAAAAAUCGUUAGGGGACUUCUGUGUGCCACAACUACUGAGCCUGCGGUCUAGAGCCCACGAGCCACAACUGCUGAGCCCGCAUGCCACAACUGCUGAAGCCCACACACCUAGAGCCUGUGCUCCGCAACAAGGGAAGCCACUGCAAUGAGAAGCCUGCCCAGUGCAACUAAGAGUAGCCCCUGCUUGACGCAACUAGAGAAAGCCCGCGCGCAGCAACAAAGACCCAAUGCAGCCAAAAAUAAAAAAAAAUUAAAAUUAAAAAAAAUAAAAGUCGUUAGGGAAUUCCCUGGUGGUCCAGUGGUUAGGACUCUGCACUUUCAGUGCUGAGGGCCUGGGUUCAGUCCCUGGUUGGGGAACUAAGAUCCCACAAGCCACGUGGCGUGGCCAAAAAAAAAAAAAGUCAUUAAAGUACAUAAGUUGACCCACCAAUUAUACUUAUCCUAAGGAAAUCAUUUGAGAUGUGUAUACUUUUGUGUUCCCACAGUGAAUAGCAAAGCAGAACUACCUUCAUUUCUGACAAUAGAGAAUCAGUUAAACUAUGGGGCAAUCAUUCUAAGGAACUGUACACAUUGUGACCAUUAUAAAUUAUAUUUUCAAGGAAUAUUUAAUGAAGUGUAAAAAUGCUUAUGUGUUAAGUGAAAAAAGCAGGUUAUAAUAUAACUCUAAUUUAUAAAAUAUGUAUCUCUGUUAUCAUGUUAGCUUUUCUUCCUUGUGUUAGCGACCUCAGGCCUUAAAGAAAGCUUUGCAGCUCCAGGCGCCACAUCUUCCCACUAAUGACCCAAGCAGAAAGGAAGGGAGCAGUGAGGGCUCUCUUCUGUUGGCGCUCCAUCCCCAGGUGUAUUCCUCUUACAUCUUAUUGACCAGAGCUGGAUCAUAGAGCCACUCGGAGUUGCAGUGGAGGCUGGGAAAGUGAGUAUCCAGCAAAGAGGAUUGUGAUUAAUCCCUUGGGGCUGGCACACUGCCAUGCCACUAAGAAUGCUCUGGGGUUCUGUAGGUAGGGAAGAGGGGCAAAUGGCGGGUAGACAAAUGUGUUGCCACACCCAGUUAACUACAGCAUGUUGUUUGGGCCAAUAAAGCCACAUUCCAAGAGGGCAGUAUUUGUAAACAUCAGUGACAGUGUACCCAUAUGCCAUCAUCUCUGCCUUUCUCUGGAAGAGGUGCCAGUGUCAAAGACCAGCUGUUUGAGAAAUAACAAAUUAGCAUUUGUUUAAUUCCUGUGAUUAAUGACCCUUAGUUUACUUCAUCUUUGUGUAAGAGCAACAGUGUACUGAAUUGUGUCUCAUCUUGUAUUUAAUACGUAGAUCAGUACUUCUUCUCUUAUGUAUCCUGAACUUGAAAAGGUUGGGAAAGAGUAGGGACCCUUCUGGGAUGGAAGAAUUUGUGCCAUGUCCUUUAGUUUUCUGGAAUUGUAAUUACUUGGAAGUGAUGAACUAGGUAGAGUGCUUCUUAAAAUCACACAUUGCAAGAUCUCUGAAGCCAGCUAGAACAGCAGGCCUUGGGCUACAUGCCCAGUAUUGAAUAAUAAAACGAGAGACCUUAGAAAUAUAAGUUCCUCUGCCCUGUGUUUUGGGGGUUUUCACCCCUUCAGUUUUUGGGUCUGGGGAAGGGCAACAGAGACUUCUUGCUCACAGCCAAGGCUCUUAAGUUUAUGAGGAGGAAGUAGAGAUGGCAGAAGAACCAGCAGUGAGUACCAAGGAGUUAUUGGGAAAAAAAAUUAGGAGCUGAGUUAGUUGAUGGCAUAGAGUUUAUUUUUAUUUUUUUAAUAAAGUUUCUUUUAUUUAUUUAUAUAUAUAUAUUUGGCUGUGUUGGGUCUUUGUUGCUGCGCAUGGGCUUUCUAUAGGUGCGGCGAGCUGGGGCUACUCUUUGUUGUGGUGCGGGGGCUUCUCAUUGUAGUGGCUUCUCUUGUCAUGGAGCACGGGCUCUGGGCACAUGGGCUUCAGUGGUUGUGGCUCACGGGCUCUAGAGCGCAGGCUCAGUAGUUGUGGCACACUGGCUUACUUGCUCUGCAGCAUGUGGGAUCUACCUGGACCAGGGAUUGAGCCCGUGUCCCCUGCAUUGGCAGGUGGAUUCUUAACCACUGUGCCAACAGGGAAGUCCCAAUGGCAUAGAGUUUAAAUUCAGCUUUUGCUAAUAAGGUGGAUUUUGACAACUCCUUGGAAGCUGAGUUUAGUUCUUUCCCUUGAGCCUUUCCUCUCCUCCCAGUGGACAGCAUCUUAAAUUCCAGAGAAGAUGAUAAAGCUCCCCUGAGGCAGUUAUGGAAUCUCCAAGUUCCUAUUCCAGUGACUCAGUUUUCAGUAGUUCACUCUUCCUCCAUCUCACUCUCCCUUCACGUGGUAAUUAGAAGGGAUAGGGCACAGUCUCUCUAGCUUGCAUUCCAGGAAGGGUCCCGAAAGGAGCUGAGCUCAGGGUGAGCAGCUCUGAAUGGGUAUAAAAUAUUGCUCAUGUAGCUGCCCAUUGGGUGGGGCCUUAAGCCCUUUUGGAUGUGGCUGAACAUGCCACUGAUACUCUGUGACCCUGUGCUGUGGCACAGAGCUUCCAAGUUCACCAGGUUUAGGAAUCCUUUCCCUGGAAAGCCCAGAGGAUAAUAAUCGGUAACAGACUUCAUCACUGUGACUGGGAAUGAAUCGCACCAGAAACUCAAUAGCAGCUAAUUCACACAGGUCCCUUGACCACCCUGAACGCUACCAACAAUCUUGGUGAUUGCAUCCACAGUAGGUUCUGACCACUAAUGAACUUGACUCAAUCUCUAAGAAGCAGUCUCAGCUGCAGAGAGCUCCAGUCCACCUGCGCCUACCUCACCACUGUUUGCUCUCACGGAGGAACAAGUUGGUCAGGAAGCUGCACCACGGCCUGGCUCUUAAAGAGAGACUCUGAGAACCAGAGGUGGAGAUUCACUGACUUAGAAUUACUCUAAGCAGCUACAGCGUAAUGUCUUCGGAGAAGGUAUGUGCUGACUUGAUCAGAGGCGCAAAGGAAAAGACUCUCAAGGGGAAAGGACGGAUGCCCACCAAGACUGUGAGAAUAACUACAAGGAAAAUUCCUGUGGUGAAGGCUCUAGGACUUGGGAUCAUUUUUCAGGGUUUUUGUUUAGUUUUGGCUGUGCCGCAUAGCAUAUGGGAUCUUAGUUCCCCAACCAGGGAUUGAACCUGUGCCCCCUGCAGUGGGAGCGCAGUCUCAACCACUGGACCACCAGGGAAGUCCCCUUCUCUUCUUUUAAAAAAUAAUUUUUUUGAGGCAUAAUUUACAUACCACAAAAAUCACUCAUUUUAAGUGCACAAUUCUCAGUUAUAAAAAUGAUUCUAGAGAGACAGGUGGGGAACCGUGGAGAGUAGAAGAGGUGGAGAGUCUAGGUAGGUGGACUGAAAAUAGAGAUCAUGGAAUUCCCUGGUGGCCUAGUGGUUAGGACUCCGUGAUCUCACUGCCAAGGGCCUGGGUUCCAUCCCUGAUCAGGGAACUAAUAUCCCGAAAGCCACACGGCACAGCCGAAAAAAAAAACAAGAAGAGAAAAUAGAGAUCAAAGGAGAAGAUGGAGAGAAGAAAUGGUGCAGAUCUGAGAAGACAGAAUAGGGUAUCGAGGAGGGACUGAUAGGUGAUUCUCUCACCUGCACAUCGAGCUCCUGGCUUCGAGGGUCUUGCAGGAAGAACCGGAAGGCCGCCUCCCACACCGGGCAGUUGGUGUUAUAGACAGCCUGGAGAUGUGCAGGAUGUAAUCAAGUGAAGGAAGGACAGCUGUCAUCAGAAUCCUUCCCCUGGUGCUUCCCUGGUGGCACAGUGGUUAAGAAUCCACCUGCCAAUGCAGGGCACACGGGUUCGAGCCCUGUUGCAGGAAGAUCCCACAUGCUGCAGAGCAACUAAGCCCAUGCACUGCAACUACUGAGCUUGCGCUCUAGAGCCCGCGAGCCACAACUACUGAGCCUGUGCACCUAGAGCCUGUGCUCCGCAACAAGAGAAGCCACGACAAUGAGAAGCCCGCACACUGCAAUGAAGAGUAGCCCCUGCUCGCUGCAACUAGACAGAGCUUGCACACAGCAACAAAGACCCAAUGCAGCCAAAAAUAAAUAAAUAAAAUAAAGAUUAUAAGAGAA